UACGAGGGGGGCGAGCGUUGUUCGGAAUUAUUGGGCGUAAAGGGCGCGCAGGCGGCCCUCCAAGUCAGGCGUGAAAGCCCCGGGCUCAACCCGGGAACAGCGCUUGAGACUGGGGGGCUUGAGUUCGGGAGAGGAGAGUGGAAUUCCCAGUGUAGAGGUGAAAUUCGUAGAUAUUGGGAAGAACACCGGUGGCGAAGGCGGCUCUCUGGACCGACACUGACGCUGAGGCGCGAAAGCGUGGGGAGCAAACAGG
rnacentral:rRNA from 1 species